AUUGAACGCUGGCGGCAGGCCUAACACAUGCAAGUCGAGCGGAUGAAGGGUGCUUGCUCCUUGAUUCAGCGGCGGACGGGUGAGUAAUGCCUAGGAGUCUGCCUGGUCGUGGGGGAUAACGUCCGGAAACGGGCGCUAAUACCGCAUACGUCCUGAGGGAGAAAGUGGGGGAUCUUCGGACCUCACGCUCUCAGCUGAGCCUAGGUCGGAUUAGCUAGUUGGUGGGGUAAAGGCCUACCAAGGCGACGAUCCGUAACUGGUCUGAGAGGAUGAUCAGUCACACUGGAACUGAGACACGGUCCAGACUCCUACGGGAGGCAGCAGUGGGGAAUAUUGGACAAUGGGCGAAAGCCUGAUCCAGCCAUGCCGCGUGUGUGAAGAAGGUCUUCGGAUUGUAAAGCACUUUAAGUUGGGAGGAAGGGCAGUAAGUUAAUACCUUGCUGUUUUGACGUUACCAACAGAAUAAGCACCGGCUAACUUCGUG
rnacentral:rRNA from 1 species